rnacentral:rRNA from 1 species
UGAGGAAUUUUCGUCAAUGGGGGAAACCCUGAACGAGCAACGCCGCGUGGAGGACGAAGACCCUCGGGUUGUAAACUCCUGUCGGACGGGACGAAAGUUACCGAGGUUAAUACCCUUGGUAGUUGACGGUACCGUACGAGGAAGCCCCGGCUAACUUCGUGCCAGCAGCCGCGGUAAUACGAGGGGGGCAAGCGUUGUUCGGAAUUACUGGGCGUAAAGGGCGCGUAGGCGGUUUGGCAAGUCUUCCGUGAAAGCCCACGGCUCAACCGUGGAACUGCGGGAGAAACUGCCAGACUUGAGUCCGGGAGGGGGGAGUGGAAUUCCCAGUGUAGCGGUGAAAUGCGCAGAUAUUGGGAGGAACACCGGAGGCGAAGGCGUCUCCCUGGACCGGUACUGACGCUGAGGCGCGAAAGCCAGGGGAGCAAACGGGAUUAGAUACCCCCGUAGUCC